GAUGAACGCUGGCGGCGUGCCUAAUACAUGCAAGUCGAGCGAACAGAUGAGGAGCUUGCUCCUCUGACGUUAGCGGCGGACGGGUGAGUAACACGUGGAUAACCUACCUAUAAGACUGGGAUAACUUCGGGAAACCGGAGCUAAUACCGGAUAAUAUAUUGAACCGCAUGGUUCAAUAGUGAAAGACGGUUUUGCUGUCACUUAUAGAUGGAUCCGCGCCGCAUUAGCUAGUUGGUAAGGUAACGGCUUACCAAGGCAACGAUGCGUAGCCGACCUGCGAGGGUGAUCGGCCACACUGGAACUGAGACACGGUCCAGACUCCUACGGGAGGCAGCAGUAGGGAAUCUUCCGCAAUGGGCGAAAGCCUGACGGAGCAACGCCGCGGGAGUGAUGAAGGUCUUCGGAUCGUAAAACUCUGUUAUUAGGGAAGAACAAAUGUGAAAGUAACUAUGCACGUCUUGACGGUACCUAAUCAGAAAGCCACGGCUAACUACGUG
rnacentral:rRNA from 1 species